rnacentral:rRNA from 1 species
UACGUAGGGGGCAAGCGUUGUCCGGAUUUAUUGGGCGUAAAGCGCGUGUAGGUGGCCAAGUAGGUCCGCUGUGAAAACUUGAGGCUCAACCUCAAGCUGUCGGUGGAAACCCCUUGGCUAGAGUCCGGAAGAGGAGAGUGGAAUUCCUGGUGUAGCGGUGAAAUGCGCAGAUAUCAGGAGAACACCAGUGGCGAAGGCAGGCU